AUUUAUAUAGUAUAAGUAUUAUAAUUGAUUUCCAAUCAAAAGAUCUAUUUAAUAGUAUAAAUA
rnacentral:tRNA from 1 species